rnacentral:rRNA from 1 species
UGAGUAACCUGCCCUUAACUCUGGGAUAAGCCUGGGAAACUGGGUCUAAUACCGGAUACGACCUUCCCUCGCAUGGGGGUUGGUGGAAAGUUCUUCGGCUGAGGAUGGGCCCGCGGCCUAUCAGCUUGUUGGUGAGGUAACGGCUCACCAAGGCUUCGACGGGUAGCCGGCCUGAGAGGGCGACCGGCCACACUGGGACUGAGAUACGGCCCAGACUCCUACGGGAGGCAG